rnacentral:lncRNA from 10 species
GGAUUUUUUAAUGAAUGAGCUUCAAAAAUAUUUAUUUUUGAAAAGCUCUACCACUAGAUUCUUAUGGCAGUCAGGUUCUAAGAUGACCCCUAAUUAUCCCCCCUUUCUUGUGUUUAUACCUUGUGUAGUCCCCUCCCCUAGGAUGUAAGGUGGGAACUGUGACUUGCUUCUAACCAACAGUAGGUAGCAAAGGUGAUUGGAUGUAACCUUCAUGAUUAUGUUACAUGGGAUUAAAACUUCUGCUGUACUAAUAAUCUGUCUCUCCCUUGCUGCUUUGAUGAGGGCAGCUGCCAUGCUGUAAGAUGGUCCACAAGGCUUUUGGCCAACAACCAAUGAUGGAUUGAGGCCUUCAGUCCAACAACCCACAAGGAACUCAAUCCUGCCAAUGACUAUGUGAACCUGGAAGCAGACCUAUCCUCAGUUGAGCCUCUAGAUGAGAACCCGCCUAUGGCUGACACCUUGAUUUUGCAGCCUUGCAGAGGAUUCAGCUAAGCUGUGCCCAGACUUCUGACCCACAGAAACUGGAUGAAUAAAGAAUGCAUCUUUUGCCAAGUACUGGGUAGAAUUUCCUUGGAGAGACUACAGAAGUGUGAGCAAUUUGGCUCUGUUCAUUACAAACAGUGUCUAUGGCAGACAUAUGAAGACCACAACUCCCUCCUUGAUGGAACAGGACCCUCGCCCCAGAGUGAGAAAACUGACGCUCAGGCAUCGAUUAGGCAGGGAUGACUAUGUGGUUUCACAGAGGAAAGAUUUAGGAUGUGAUUAGAGGACUGAAACAGCCAUGGGCCAUCUCUCCAGAGCGCAGCAGACUUCUAACACAAGGAGGAACUACCACCCUAGCCUGACUUUUGGUUGUCUCCAACUAGUUGAGGAUAUGCUUUCGAGAGCACAUCAACUUUGGUGCAAUGUUGGGGGUGGAAGGGGAGGUUUUGUAUCUGUUUUACAAUUUAGACACACACACACAAGAUUUGAGUUAGAGCACAGAGUAUGCUUAAAACAUGGCAUAGAGUCAUAAGAUGAAACAAAGCCUGCCUCCACUUGUUACUGCUUCCUUUUUGGUGUGUAUGAUCUAUUUCUUCCUAUUUUGUGGAAGCUUGUCAGUCCUCAAACUGGAAGGCUCAAAUACAAUAUUUCAAACUGGCACCAGAUUCAUGUAACCCUAUAGGGCAUGCCAGAAUUCUGGGCAAUCUUUUAAGGAUACAUAGUCCACAGAAUGAAUAAAACCAGCAUCUAUUGCCAGGGCAAAAUUUAGUAUGGGUUUUAGGGGUCAUUGGCUAAAAACAAAAUGCCAAUAUGCUGGCUGAAUCAACUGGGUUUUAUUCAUUUUACAUUCCCAGCAUUAAGCAUAGCUAUUACUAGGCAUUGGGUCAGUUUCAUGGCUGAAGCCUGGUAUUAUCUGGCAUUUCUUUUACUUGAGAAAAGGGAAACAUCUUGAGGACUUGAUUUAAUGUGAAAGAAAUGUAAUUUAAAGGAACUAAAAGGAGAAUGAUUAUCAUUGUUGUUUGCUAACACAUAAAGUAUAGUGAGUUACAUACCAGAAAUUUACUGGUAAAACCAUUUUGUAGGUUAAAAAAAUCAAGUGUAUGUAAGUCACAAUCUCAAAUAUUACAUUCUCACUAACAUCUGUAUAAAAAGAUCUGUCCCCAUAAGAAAAUAAAUUCUUGAACCACAGGGAAACCAAUUUAUCAUUCUGGCUCAUUCUUUUUCCCCUUACCUAAUUUGCUCCCAUUUCUGAACCUCAUUUUCUCUAGUUUGCUCCAAAGCUAUUCUGCUUUUAAUAUCUCACAAGACCUGGAUUGUUUCCUGUGUGCACAACAGGCUUUUAAAAUACAUGGGCUUAACCUGCUACCCAGGUGCACCCUUUUCUCAACAUUUCUCCAUCUCGCA